rnacentral:rRNA from 1 species
GAUGAACGCUGGCGGCGUGCUUAACACAUGCAAGUCGAACGAAGCACCUCUCCCGAAGAUUGACACAGCUUGCUGUAGAUUGAUUCAUUUGAGGUGACUGAGUGGCGGACGGGUGAGUAACGCGUGGGUAACCUGCCUCAUAGAGGGGGACAACAGUUGGAAACGACUGCUAAUACCGCAUAGUAAGAAGAAUUCGCAUGUUUUCUUCUUGAAAGAUUUAUCGCUAUGAGAUGGACCCGCGUCUGAUUAGCUAGUUGGUAAGGUAACGGCUUACCAAGGCGACGAUCAGUAGCCGGCUUGAGAGAGUGAACGGCCACAUUGGGACUGAGACACGGCCCAAACUCCUACGGGAGGCAGCAGUGGGGAAUAUUGCACAAUGGGGGAAACCCUGAUGCAGCGACGCCGCGUGAGUGAAGAAGUAUUUCGGUAUGUAAAGCUCUAUCGGCAGGGAAGAUAAUGACGGUACCUGACUAAGAAGCCCCGGCUAACUACGUG